rnacentral:rRNA from 1 species
AGAGAACCUUACUAGAAGCGACGGCAGGAAGAAGGCCAGUCUGAAGGGCUUGCCUGAGGAGCCGAGAGGUAGUGCAUGGCCGCCGUCAGCUCGUGUCGUAAGAUGUCCAGUUAAGUCUGGCAACGAGCGAGACCUAUACCUGCUAUUGCUAACAGCCACUUCGGUGGGACUGAGCACUUUGCAGGGACUGCCUUGGAAACAAGGAGGAAGGUGUAGGCAACGGUAGGUCUGUAUGCUCCGAAUCUUCUGGGCUACACGCGCGCAACAAUGGUACAGACAAUGGGUUGCGACUCCGAAAGGAGAAGCUAAACCUCGAAACUGUAUCUAAGUUCAGAUUGAGGGCUGUAACUCGCCCUCAUGACGCUGGAAUCCCUAGUAAUCGAACGUCAUCAGCGUUCGGUGAAUAUGUCCCUGCUCCUUGCACACACCGCCCGUCAAACCACCCGAGUUGGGUCUAGAUGAGGCUCUGUUUUUAACAAGGUCGAAUCUAAGCUUAGCGAGGAGGGUUAAGUCGUAACAAGGUAGCCGUAGGGGAACCUGCGGCUG